rnacentral:rRNA from 1 species
UACGUAGGUGGCAAGCGUUUGUCCGGAUUUAUUGGGCGUAAAGCGCGCGCAGGCGGUCCUUUAAGUCUGAUGUGAAAUCUUGCGGCUUAACCGCAAGCGGUCAUUGGAAACUGGGGGACUUGAGUACAGAAGAGGAAAGUGGAAUUCCACGUGUAGCGGUGAAAUGCGUAGAGAUGUGGAGGAACACCGGUGGCGAAGGCGGUUCUCUGGGCCUUACCUGACGCUGAGGAGCGAAAGCGUGGGGAGCGAACAGG